UUUUUUUUAUAACAAAUCAAUCAUCUUAAAUACAACGUUCAUAAACUUAUGCAUGACCCAGACCGUUCCAAUAAAAUUGGAAGCUCGGCUCUAAUAUUUUAAAAAUGGCCUUAAUAAAAAUAAUUAAUGAUAAUUUAAAUAAUUACAAAUUAACAAUAAGCAUUAUUUUGAUUUUAAUUUGUUUUUGUUGAAUUUUUGUUGUUGAUAGAUGUGUGGAUUUAACCUAACUUGUCCAUUUACUCUUUACUUUUGUCAAAUAAUAAGUAUUUGAUUUAGACCUACAUAACAAAAGAAAAUAUUAUCAUACAUCCCAACAAUUAUAUUCAUACCCUUAUAAAUAAUUGAGGCCCUCAUAAAUUGGAGGCUCGGCUCCGUAAAGCUCCUUGCGCAUGGCAAGGAACAGCCCUGGCAUGACCCUUUGAACUUUUUGUAGAAGAUCAAUAGUUUUUGCCGCUAAGGUGUCAAAAGUGUCAAAGAUAAAUGGUAUAAUUGUCAAAACAUGUUUUCUUAUGUUUGAUCACUUUGUUAGAAGCAACUUUAAAACUGCUUGUCCCACAGUAAAAACCUCAGUCCCUAAUCCCGCAAGAGAAAAGACCCUGAUCAAGUUCGCACAUGUAUGUUUUCCUCCGACCCAUUGAUACAUGAGAACAUCUAUUGGCCUAAGUUGCGAUAUUCAUUCUUGUUAGUCGGUUAAGAAGUUCACAACGCAUCCUUCUUUACAUAUAUUUGAUACUUCUACCCGCCUAUGAGUUGAUUAUGAGUUACAAUUUAAACUAAAAAAUAAUAAUCUGGUUUUAACUCUCUAAAUAAUUCCUCCUCGUCAAUGGUGUGACUCUCGUUUCUAAACUCAAUGAACUUUUCAACUAUAAGAUCAUCAUUCAUCUGUA
rnacentral:lncRNA from 1 species